GACGAACGCUGGCGGCGUGCUUAACACAUGCAAGUCGAACGGUGAAGCGCUUUUUUUUUUGGUUGGUGUGGAUGAGUGGCGAAGGGGUGAGUAACACGCUAGUAACCUGCCCCGUUUUACUGGAUAACCGCAUGAAAGUUUGGCCAAUACGGGAUAUUCUGCGCCUGGUGCAUGGUGGGAGUGGGAAAGAUUGUGCGUUUGGGUGUCUUCGGUGGGGGAUGGGCUUGUGGCGUAUUAGCUGGUUGGUGGGGUGAGGGGCUUCCAAGGCGGUGAGGGGUAGCUGGUCUGAGAGGAUGAUCAGUGACACUGGAGAUGAGACGGGGUCCAGACGCCUACGGGAGGCAGCAGUGGGGAAUGUUGGACAGUGGGCGGAAGCCUGAUCCAGCCAGGCCGAGUGUGUGAAGAAGGUUUUCGGAUUGUAAAGCGCUUUAAGUUGGGAGGAAGGGCAGUAGGUUAAUACCUUGCUGGGUUGACGUUACCAACAGAAUAAGCACCGGCUAACUACGUG
rnacentral:rRNA from 1 species